GAUGAACGCUGGCGGCGUGCUUAACACAUGCAAGUCGAACGAAGCACUUGAAUGGAAUUCUUCGGAAGGAAGCUCAAGUGACUGAGUGGCGGACGGGUGAGUAACGCGUGGGUAACCUGCCUCAUACAGGGGGAUAACAGUUAGAAAUGACUGCUAAUACCGCAUAAGCACACGUGAUCGCAUGAUUGAGUGUGAAAAACUCCGGUGGUAUGAGAUGGACCCGCGUCUGAUUAGCUAGUUGGUGGGGUAAUGGCCCACCAAGGCGACGAUCAGUAGCCGGCCUGAGAGGGUGAACGGCCACAUUGGGACUGAGACACGGCCCAAACUCCUACGGGAGGCAGCAGUGGGGAAUAUUGCACAAUGGGGGAAACCCUGAUGCAGCGACGCCGCGUGAAGGAUGAAGUAUUUCGGUAUGUAAACUUCUAUCAGCAGGGAAGAAAAUGACGGUACCUGACUAAGAAGCCCCGGCUAACUACGUGCCAGCCGCCGCAGUAA
rnacentral:rRNA from 1 species